rnacentral:rRNA from 1 species
UACGUAGGGUGCAAGCGUUUGUCCGGAAUUAUUGGGCGUAAAGAGCUCGUAGGCGGUCUGUCGCGUCGGCUGUGAAAUCCCGAGGCUCAACCUCGGGUCUGCAGUCGAUACGGGCAAACUGGAGUGUUGCAGGGGAGACUGGAAUUCCUGGUGUAGCGGUGAAAUGCGCAGAUAUCAGGAGGAACACCGGUGGCGAAGGCGGGAUCCUGGGCCAGUACUGACGCUGAGGAGCGAAAAGCGUGGGGGAGCAAACAGGG